AGAGUUUGAUCCUGGCUCAGGAUGAACGCUAGCUACAGGCUUAACACAUGCAAGUCGAGGGGAAACGACAUCGAAAGCUUGCUUUUGAUGGGCGUCGACCGGCGCACGGGUGAGUAACGCGUAUCUAACCUGCCCACCACUUGGGGAUAACCUUGCGAAAGUAAGACUAAUACCCAAUGACGUCUCUAGAAGACAUCUGAAAGGGAUUAAAGAUUUAUCGGUGAUGGAUGGGGAUGCGUCUGAUUAGCUUGUUGGCGGGGUAACGGCCCACCAAGGCUACGAUCAGUAGGGGUUCUGAGAGGAAGGUCCCCCACAUUCGGAACUGAGACACGGUCCAAACUCCUACCGGAGGCCA
rnacentral:rRNA from 1 species